rnacentral:misc_RNA from 1 species
GAUGAAGAACGUAGCGAAAUGCGAUAAGUAGUGUGAAUUGCAGACUUUAGUGAAUCAUCGAAUCUUUGAACGCACAUUGCGCCCCUUGGUAUUCCAUUGGGCAUGCCUGUUCGAGCGUCAUCUACAACCUCAAGCUCCGCUUGGUGUUGGGUGUCUGUCUGCGCUUCUUGCGAAGACUCGCCCUAAAUCUAUUGGCAGCGGCAUCGCCGGCUUCUCGCGCAGUACAAUGCGUUAUGGAAGGCUACCGGCGGGCUUGCGUCCAUCAAGUAACCCCCCAAGUUUGACCUCGAAUCAGGUAGGGAUACCCGCUGAACUUAAGCAUAUCAAUAAGCGGAGGA